UAUGUGAUCGUCUCUCGCAUAUCAAUAAGCGGAGGAAAAGAAACUAACAAGGAUUCCCCUAGUAACGGCGAGUGAAGCGGGAAGAGCUCAAAUUUGAAAUCUUAAAGGGUUUCCCUUUACGAAUUGUAGUUUAAAGAAGUGUUUUCUGUUGAGGUUUUGGUAAAAGUUCUUUGGAAUAGGAACAUCAUAGAGGGUGAGAAUCCCCUAUUUGACCUUUACUUUCAACUUUGUGAUACACUUUCAAAGAGUCGGAUUGUUUGGGAAUGCAGUCCAAAAUGGGUGGUAAAUUUCAUCUAAAGCUAAAUAUUGGCGAGAGACCGAUAGCGAACAAGUACCGUGAGGGAAAGAUGAAAAGAACUUUGAGAAGAGAGUUAAACAGUACGUGAAAUUGUCAAAAGGGAAGCGUUUGACACCAGUGUUGUUUUUCUGAAAAUCAAUUAAAGAACUGUUUAUGCUAAGCUGUUUAGACUUUAUCAGCUAACUGUUUAGUUUUGAGCUUUUCUUUAAUGCACUUUUCAGUUAACAAGUCAACAUCAAUUUCUUUUGCUGUAAAAAAGCUUGAGGAAGGUGGCUUGAGAUUCGUCUUAAGUGUUUAUAGCCUCUUGCCUAUGCAGUCGGAGAGAUUGAGGUCUGCAGCGUAGAUCCUUCGGGGCUAAAUGCAUUUGUGCUAAGUUAUAGCAUUUUAUAGACAACUUGUUGACUAUGAUCUUGUCUUGUAGCUUACUCGCUUAUGUUAUUUUACCUACGCUUAGGAUGUUGACUGAUAUGUAGUCGU
rnacentral:rRNA from 1 species